rnacentral:rRNA from 1 species
CCCUUAGAUGUUCUGGGCCGCACGCGCGCUACACUGAACAGUUCAACAAGUCUUAACCUUGGCCGAUAGGUCUGGGUAAUCUUUGAACGCUGUUCGUGAUUGGGAUAGACCUUUGCAAUUAUGGGUCUUCAACGAGGAAUUCCUAGUAAACGCAAGUCACCAGCUUGCAUUGAUUACGUCCCUGCCCUUUGUACACACCGCCCGUCGCACCUACCGAUUGAAUGGUCCGGUGAAAUCUCGGGACGGCGGCUUGGUCGCUUGCGUCCGACUGCUGAAACUUGAUUAAACCAUAUCAUUUAGAGGAAGGUGAAGUCGUAACA